rnacentral:rRNA from 1 species
ACGCUCGACACCUACGGGAGGCAGCAGUGGGGAAUAUUGCACAAUGGGGGAAACCCUGAUGCAGCAACGCCGCGUGAAGGAAGACGGUUUCGGAUUGUAAACUUCUGUUCUUAGUGAAAGAUAGUGACGGUAGCUAAGGAGCAAGCCACGGCUAACUACGUGCCGGCAGCCGCGGUAAUCGUGAGGCGGGCUGGCAAGGC